AAUCAACAUGCAAGAUGAAUGUUUAGUUACAAUUGAAAAGCAAAUCAAAAAACGAGAGAGACUAUAACCUGUGAGAAAUAUAAUCCUACCUUAAACCAGAAAAUUGUAACUCAGAGAAAUCAAAAUCGUCUGAUUCCGGCCUCUUCUCCAUCUCCACUUCAACAAUUAAGCAAACUAUUGAAGUUUUUUUACAUGAAAACAAGUCUUUUACAAUGAGUUCCGCCACCAAUAAUAGCGCCACAUUUUUCAACACCGCCGGAUCUUACCGCGAAAUUGAAACCACAGCAUCGGACCGGCAGUGCUGCUUUGUUAGAGAAGGAAAAGACUGAGGAAGAUAUUUGGGGAAAAAUGAGGGAAAUAACUAAAAAGCCGAGGCAAAUGACAUAUAGAAUAAGUUAGUAAGUUAUUUUAGGGAAUUUUAAUUUUGACGAUUGCGGCAGUUACGACUCCUUAAAUUGACAAAAUAAAUUGGAGGGGUUAAUCAAACCUCCACAAUUUAAUGUAAA
rnacentral:lncRNA from 1 species